UACAUGGGGUGCAAACGUUGCUCGGAAUUAUUGGGCGUAAAGCGCGCGUAGGCGGUUACUCAAGUCGGAUGUGAAAGCCCUCGGCUUAACUGAGGAAGUGCACCCGAAACUGAGUAGCUAGAGUACUAAAGAGGGUCGCGGAAUUCCCGGUGUAGAGGUGAAAUUCGUAGAUAUCGGGAGGAACACCGGUGGCGAAGGCGGCGACCUGGGUAGAUACUGACGCUGAGGCGCGAAAGUGUGGGGAGCGAACAGG
rnacentral:rRNA from 1 species